AGUGAACGCUGGCGGUAGGCCUAACACAUGCAAGUCGAACGGCAGCACAGUAAGAGCUUGCUCUUACGGGUGGCGAGUGGCGGACGGGUGAGGAAUACAUCGGAAUCUACUUUUUCGUGGGGGAUAACGUAGGGAAACUUACGCUAAUACCGCAUACGACCUACGGGUGAAAGCAGGGGAUCUUCGGACCUUGCGCGAUUGAAUGAGCCGAUGUCGGAUUAGCUAGUUGGCGGGGUAAAGGCCCACCAAGGCGACGAUCCGUAGCUGGGCUGAGAGGAUGAUCAGCGACACUGGAACUGAGAGACGGUCCAGACUCCGACGGGAGGCAGCAGUGGGGAAUAGUGGACGAUGGGCGCAAGCCUGAUCCAGCGAUACCGCGUGGGUGAAGAAGGCCUUCGGGUUGUAAAGCCCUUUUGUUGGGAAAGAAAAGUAGCAGGUUAAUACCCCGCUGUUCUGACGGUACCCAAAGAAUAAGCACCGGCUAACUUCGUG
rnacentral:rRNA from 1 species